rnacentral:lncRNA from 1 species
GCUGGGUGCAACGACGUGCCUGUAGUCCCAGCUACUUGGGAGGCUGAGGCCAGAGGAUCACCUGAGCCCAGGAGUUCUGGACUGCAGAGAGCUGUGCCAAUCAGGACUCACUAACAAGGUGGCUGGCUCUCCCCAGAGUGAAUGAUUCCAGAGAAGGCCAGAAAGAGUCACUGCAUCUAAAACGGAACCUGCAGUAUUUUGUAACCUCAUCUCAAAAGUGACAAACCAUCACUUCUGUCAUAGUCUUGUCUUUAGAAGUCAGUCAAUUCAACCCACGUAGAAAAAGGGGAUUGCACAGCAAUCCCAUUACUGGUUAUAUACCCAGACAAAUAUAAA